CAGUAGCCGCGGUAAUACGGAGGAUCCAAGCGUUAUCCGGAUUUAUUGGGUUUAAAGGGUGCGUAGGUGGCCUGUUAAGUCAGGGGUGAAAGACGGUAGCUCAACUAUCGCAGUGCCCUUGAUACUGAUGGGCUUGAAUGAACUAGAGGUAGGCGGAAUGUGACAAGUAGCGGUGAAAUGCAUAGAUAUGUCACAGGACACCAAUUGCGAAGGCAGCUUACUAUGGUUUUAUUGACACUGAGGCACGAAAGCGUGGGGAGCAAACAGGAUUAGAUACCCGUGUAGUCCCUGUCUCUUAUAC
rnacentral:rRNA from 1 species